rnacentral:lncRNA from 1 species
UCUAUGUGACCUUGGGCAAGCCACUUAACCUCCAAUAGCCUAGCCCUCACUGUUAUAUUUUAAAAUGUAUACAUAGUAUUGAUUCUAAGACAGAAGGGAGAAAGGAAGGAAGGAAGGAAGGAAGGAAGGAAGGAAGGAAGGAAGGAAGGAAGGAAGGAAGGAAGGAAGGAAGGAAGGAAGGAAGGAAGAAAGGAAGGAAGGAAGGGAGGAAGGGAGGGAGGAAGGAAGAAAGGAAGGAAGCAAGCAAGGAAGGAAGGAAGAGGAAAGAAAGGAAGGAAGGAAGAAAAAGAAAGAAAGAGAGAGAGAGAAAGAAAAAAGAAAGGAAGGAAGAAAAAGAAAGAAAGAGAGAGAGAAAGAAAGAAAGAGAGAAAGGAAGAGAGAAAGGAAGAGAGAAAGGAAGGAAGGAAGGAAGGAAGGAAGGAAGGAAGGAAGGAAGGAAGGAAGGAAGGAAGGAAGGAAGGAAGGAAGGAAGGAAGGAAGGAAGGAAGGAAGGAAGGAAGGAAGGAACGAAGGAAGGAACGAACGACGCAAGCGACGAACGACCCGACCGACCGACCGACCACCCGACCUGCCAUCUGAUCGACUCGCG